AUCAGAGUAGAAAAUAAAGCGUUAAGUGUCAAAAAAUGGAAUGUCGUUUUUGGACGAAGGGCUGUGGCUCGCGGUUUUAUUUUCGCAUUCGCUGAA
rnacentral:ncRNA from 1 species